rnacentral:rRNA from 1 species
GGCACACGGGUGCGCAACACGUACAGAACCUUCCUUUAAGCGGGGGAUAGCCCGAAGAAAUUCGGAUUAAUACCCCAUAGUAUUUCGGUGUGGCAUCACAUUGUAAUUAAAGAUUUAUCACUUAAAGAUGGCUGUGCGUCUGAUUAGGUAGUUGGUAGUAGGUAAAGGCUCACCAAGCCAACGAUCAGUAACUAGGUGUAGAGAGCACGACCAGUCACACGGGCACUGAGACACGGGCCCGACUCCUACGGGAGGCAGCAGUAGGGCAUAUUGGGCAAUGGCGGAAACGCUGACCCAGCCAUGCCGCGUGCAGGAACGAAGGCGCUCAGCGUUGUCACAACUGCUUUUGUCCGGGAAGAAUGACCGUACGCGUAGCGGGAGUGACGGUACCGGGUGAAUAAGCACCGGGCUAACUCCGUGCCAGC